AUUAGGAUAGCAAAGCUUGGUAACUGCAUAAAACUUAAACUUUUAUAUUCAGAGGCUCAAUUCCUCUUCCUAAUA
rnacentral:tRNA from 1 species